UACAGAGGGUGCUAGCGUUGUUCGGAAUCAUUGGGCGUAAAGGGCGUGUAGGCGGUUUGUUAAGUCAUGUGUGAAAUCCCUCGGCUCAACCGGGGAACGACGCAUGAAACUGGCAAGCUAGAGUACCAAAGAGGGGGGUGGAAUUCCCGGUGUAGCGGUGAAAUGCGUAGAUAUCAGGAGGAACACCGAUGGCGAAGGCAGGUCUCUGGGCUGACACUGACGCUGAUGCGCGAAAGCUAGGGGAGCGAACGGG
rnacentral:rRNA from 1 species